AACCCCUCAAUCCAAGGUCUGAUCCAACAGUCAGAAGUUAGACGCUGCACCUGCUGAGCACUCUGUUAAACCAACAGUCUCUGGACCCAACCGGUUCCCCCCCUCUGAGAAGAAAGCCUGAAACUCUCCAAGACGCCUGAGAAUCCAGCCCGGACCUGUUUCCUGAACGCAGUCUUAUUUUGUGCAAACAUUUAAUAAACUCUGUUAAACUUUUCA